AUUUAAUCAAAAUAUAAAGUCCAAAGUACCAAAAUAAAUGUUUGAUAGUGUGAUGCAAUCUCCGACAACUUCCAAUCCGAAUGAGCUUCCGAAGCACUAUAAAACAUGAAAAUAAAACAGAGUAAGCAAUUAAGCUUAUUAAGUUCGUAUAACUAAAAAUACAACUUACCGAUCAACCACUAUUUAGGUAAGCAACAUUAAGGCAUAAUACAACUCAAAUUAGCCCAAAAGUCUAAUACAUAAUCAUCAACCAUGUUGGCCAUGAAUUCAUAUUUCAAUACAUACCACUUCUCAUAUUUCACAAAAAUACAUGUACUAGUUUGUGUCGAACUCGUAUUAUCCUCAUAACAAUACGGUGCCCGUUGAACCACUUAGGAUAAUAUCGGAUACACGGGUAUCUCGCACACUAAGUGCCAAUAUGUGGUCAAAACCACCACUAUCUCAUAUCUCGUAUCAUUGCUCUCUCUCGAGCCAUAACUGGGUUUGCUCACACAAGCUGUCAGUCAAGACGUAGCUAUACGGUGCUGCUCACACAAGCUGUAAAGUAACAGCAACACAUGCCGAAAACUCAGCCACCGGUAGGAUGUACGAGACCGGCACCCAAAAUACGGUAACCCCUAAUGACAUGUCAUUUGUAUCAUAUCUAUUCCUAAGGUUCAAUCGGGAUCCUUACGUCGCCGAAACUUUGUCGAAUAUUUUUGUAGAGUCGUAUCAUCAAAAAUAUAAUAAUAAAGCAUUUAAAAUACAUAUAUUUAAUGCUUAUUAAACAUACGAACUUACCUCAAAUUAGUACAGAAAAAAUUGAUCGAUUAGUCCACUACUUUGUCUUUUCCCCGAUUUAAUUCCGAAUGUUGCUUUUCUUGAUCUAUAUAAUCAAAUUUAACUAAUUUAAUCAUCAUUCUAUACAAUUCAAUCCAAAAAUCAUGUUAUGGAAAAAUUAAUAUUUUGCACCUAUACUUUUGAAUUCUUUACAAUUUAGUCCCUAGGCUUGUAAAAUGAAAUUCAUGCAAUUUCAUCCACAUAUAAGUCUAUCUGAAUUCUAUAUAUAUAUGCUUAUAUCAUCCCAUACAUUUAAAAAAUUCACACAUUUAACACAAAAUUUUCACAUUUCACAAAUUAACCCCUAAUUGACAAUUUCAACAAAACUCACUUAACAAAAGUUGUUUAAUUAACAACAAUGAUUCAUUUUCUUCCAUUAAACUUCAAAAACCUAACAUAUUAAUCAAUGGAAAAACUUAAAAUACUCAAUAUUUUUGCAAAUUAGUCCCCUAGUUAUCAAGGUUAAGCUACAACAAUCCCGAAAACAUAAAAAUCAUCAAAAACUGGACAAAAUAACACUUACAUGCAAGGACUUCACUUGGCUGAAUUUUU
rnacentral:lncRNA from 1 species